rnacentral:rRNA from 1 species
AGUGAACGCUGGCGGUAGGCCUAACACAUGCAAGUCGAACGGCAGCACAGUAAGAGCUUGCUCUUACGGGUGGCGAGUGGCGGACGGGUGAGGAAUACAUCGGAAUCUACUUUUUCGUGGGGGAUAACGUAGGGAAACUUACGCUAGUACCGCAUACGACCUACGGGUGAAAGCAGGGGAUCUUCGGACCUUGCGCGAUUGAAUGAGCCGAUGUCGGAUUAGCUAGUUGGCGGGGUAAAGGCCCACCAAGGCGACGAUCCGUAGCUGGUCUGAGAGGAUGAUCAGCCACACUGGAACUGAGACACGGUCCAGACUCCUACGGGAGGCAGCAGUGGGGAAUAUUGGACAAUGGGCGCAAGCCUGAUCCAGCCAUACCGCGUGGGUGAAGAAGGCCUUCGGGUUAUAAAGCCCUUUUGUUGGGAAAGAAAAGCAGCAGGUUAAUACCCCGCUGUUCUGACGGUACCCAAAGAAUAAGCACCGGCUAACUUCGUG